ACACACAUAUACGGUAAACUAACCCCUCCCUUAUUCCUCCACGCUUCUUUUCUCCCCACCAUUCAUUCACGGAUGAACACCCUCCACACAAAUAAACUUAUCAACACAGAGAAGAAAGAAAUCAGAGAAAACAAGGAAAAGAGAGACCGAGAGAGAGCGAGACGCAUAGGGAAGAUGGGAAGGGGGAAGCAGCGCCGGUGGGUAACACAGGCAGCGUCGCUGCUGUUGCUGUCAUAUAGGAGAGUGUGGGAGAAGUGGAGGGCAAGAGGGAGAAGGAUGGUGCGCUGUUGGAGCCACAUCACCGCCGUUCCUCACUGUCACCGCCGCGUUUCACCGCUGUCGUUAAACUUCCAUCGCCGUCCCCACUGUUCAACCCGCCAUCAGGGAGAGGCACUUCCAUCGAACCCUAGCCAUCACUAUCGCCUCUGCACGCAAAGAAGGGGCUGGUGUCACUGUUGCCACUGAUGCCGUCAAUUUGGAGUUGCCAUAGACACGGUUGUUUCUACUUCUAGUGCUCAUUCUUCUGACUGUUGGAGUUGCUGCUGCCAGAACCACUGGGAAGGAUUGCUGGGAAUUACUGCUGCCCUGUUUUGGCUCUAAUUAGGAUUAACAUUCAUUGGCCUGGAGUUGUUUCUGCCUUUCGAUUCCGUUGAAUUCGAAAUCUUCAUUUCACUGCAACUGUGGUCAUUGUUGUGGAAGCUAAUGCUACUAUUGUCCCAGUUGUGCUGAGAUGCAGUGCUGCUGCUUUCUUGGCUGAAAUGGUUGCGUGACUAAUAGGGGUCUAGCCAGCUGUCUCACCACAAUUCUAUCUCCGGUUUCUUGUAAUUGCGACAUCGAGGUUUGAAGACGCAAUUUGAAGCUGCGAGCAAUUAGUAGGUUUUCUUUAUGGUUUUAAUUGGUCUCGUAGAGUCCCCUCGCUCUUGUCGUAUGAGGUUUUAUUUCAUAUAGAGGGGUAGGUUUGGUAUAUUGUGUUUGAGUUUCAUUUGGAUUCUUUUGUAUAAGAAUUAUUAUCAAUAGUAAUUAUGUGAUUAUUAUUA